UACGAAGGGGGCGAGCGUUGUUCGGAUUUACUGGGCGUAAAGGGCGCGUAGGCGGCCACCGCAAGUCGACUGUGAAAUCUCCGGGCUUAACCCGGAAAGGUCAGCCGAUACUGCGGGGCUAGAGUGCGGAAGGGGCUACUGGAAUUCUCGGUGUAGCGGUGAAAUGCGUAGAUAUCGAGAGGAACACCUGCGGCGAAGGCGGGUAGCUGGGCCGACACUGACGCUGAGGCGCGAAAGCCAGGGGAGCGAACGGG
rnacentral:rRNA from 1 species